AUUGAACGUUGGCGGCAGGCCUAACACAUGCAAGUCGAACGGUAACAGGAAGCAGCUUGCUGCUUUGCUGACGAGUGGCGGACGGGUGAGUAAUGUCUGGGAAACUGCCCGAUGGAGGGGGAUAACUACUGGAAACGGUAGCUAAUACCGCAUAACGUCGCAAGACCAAAGAGGGGGACCUUAGGGCCUCUUGCCAUCGGAUGUGCCCAGAUGGGAUUAGCUAGUAGGUGGGGUAACGGCUCACCUAGGCGACGAUCCCUAGCUGGUCUGAGAGGAUGACCAGCCACACUGGAACUGAGACACGGUCCAGACUCCUACGGGAGGCAGCAGUGGGGAAUAUUGCACAAUGGGCGCAAGCCUGAUGCAGCCAUGCCGCGUGUAUGAAGAAGGCCUUCGGGUUGUAAAGUACUUUCAGCGGGGAGGAAGGGAGUAAAGUUAAUACCUUUGCUCAUUGACGUUACCCGCAGAAGAAGCACCGGCUAACUCCGUG
rnacentral:rRNA from 1 species